CCUACGGGUGGCAGCAGUGGGGAAUAUUGCUCAAUGGGGGAAACCCUGAAGCAGCGACGCCGCGUGAGGGAAGAAGGUUUUCGGAUUGUAAACCCCUGUCUUUGGGGAAGAAAAUGACGGUACCCAACGAAGAAGCACCGGCUAACUACGUGCCAGCAGCCGCGGUAAUACGGAGGGAGCGAGCGUUACCCGGAAUUACUGGGCGUAAAGGGCGCGUAGGCGGGACAGCAAGUCUGAUGUGAAAUCCUAUGGCUUAACCAUGGAACUGCGUUUGAAACUUUUUUUCUAGAGUGAGGUAGAGGUAGGCGGAAUUCCUGGUGUAGCGGUGAAAUGCGUAGAUAUCAGGAGGAAUACUGAUGGCGAAGGCGGCCUGCUGGACUAUAACUGACGCUGAGGCGCGAAAGCGUGGGGAGCAAACAGGAUUAGAUACCCGAGUAGUC
rnacentral:rRNA from 1 species